rnacentral:tRNA from 2 species
GCCCUGGUAGCUCAAUCGGUAGAGCGUGUGGCUCUUAAUCUCAAGGUCGCGGGUUCGAGCUCCGCCUCGGGCU